GCACGGAGUUAGCCGGCGCUUCCUCACCCGGUACCGUCAAGCUCGCCAAAGCAAGCCAUUCGUCCCGGGCAACAGUGGUUUACACCCCGAAGGGCGUCCUCCCACACGCGGCGUCGCUGCGUCAGCCUUUCGGCCAUUGCGCAAGAUUCCCCACUGCUGCCUCCCGUAGGAGUCUGGGCCGUCUCUCAGUCCCAAUGUGGCUGGCCAUCCUCUCAGACCAGCUACCCGUCGUCGCCUUGGUGCGCCGUUACCGCACCAACUAGCUGAUAGGCCGCGAGCCCCUCGAAAUGCCUCUCACGAGUUUCCUCUCCAAACCAUGCGGUCCAGAGAACGUAUGCGGUAUUACCCGGCCGUUGGGCCGGCUAUCCCCCGCGUCUCGGUAGGUCGCUCACGUGUUACGCACCCGUCUGCCGGUUGAGUAUUGCUACCCCCCCUUGACUUGCAUGUGUUAAGCACGCCGCCAGCGUUCGUU
rnacentral:rRNA from 1 species